rnacentral:rRNA from 1 species
CACGUAGGGGGCGAGCGUUGUCCGGAUUCAUUGGGCGUAAAGGGCGCGCAGGCGGCCCGGCAAGUCGGAUGUGAAAACUCGAGGCUCAACCUCGAGCGUGCACCCGAUACUGCCGGGCUUGAGGCAGGUAGGGGAGAUCGGAAUUCCUGGUGUAGCGGUGAAAUGCGCAGAUAUCAGGAGGAACACCGGUGGCGAAGGCGGAUCUCUGGGCCUGUCCUGACGCUGAGGCGCGAAAGCGUGGGGAGCAAACAGG